rnacentral:lncRNA from 1 species
ACAUCCUCCUCCUUAAUUUUUACAGCAUGAAUGGCUUUAUCUUUAACUACUCUGUCCCAUUCAUUACCCUAGGGUGAGGGGAGACCAAGGGCCCUAUCUUGCAUCCGGCGCAAGUGACUUAGUCACUGGCGCAAGUGUCGUUGCUAGUUUACAACUGGCGCAGAGCGCUCUUUUGCCACUUGCGCCACUCGCCGGUAAAUUAGGGAAUGAUCUUGCGCCCCAAGGGGCGGUUCGGCGGAAGGAGGAGGCGUGUUCUGGCGCAAACGGUAUUUUGACGUUUCUGAAAACCAUUGCGCUACUGACCAGGAAAUACCUGGUUUAAAGUCAGUGGCGCGUUGUUCAGACGCUAUUUUAAGGGCGCAUGCCUACAUGCGCAUGCAUGCAUACGGAUUGCUUGUGCACCUCGCGCAUACACUUUGCUUCUCUCAUCUACCUAGCCGCACAUUCUUGGUGAAUUAUUUGGGAAAGAACAGCUGAUGCAGCGGUAAUAAGUUGUACUUUUAAAUCAAUGCAUCUGCAAACACCGUACAGCAAACACAUAUUUUCUUGACACAGACAUCGUGUAGGCCUACAUGCCCAUAACUUUUAGGUUUGAUGAGUAGGCCUAUUUGAUCGUGAAAAACAUUGUUUUACCGCGAGUGAGUGUUAAAAAGAAUGAAUGAAUGCGGGCGCGCGUGUGUGCUCUGUUUAAACACACGCAAACUAAACACUCUCAUCAUCAUCUCAUCUUCGUUCGCUUAUCCGGGGUCGGGUCGCGGGGGAGCAGCUCAAGCAGGGGGCCCCAGACUUCCCUUUCCCGGGCCACAUUGACCAACUCUGACGGGGGGAUCCCGAGGCGUUCCCAGGCCAGUGUUGAGAUAUAAUCUCUCCACCUAGUCCUGGGUCUUCCCCGAGGUCUCCUCCCCACUGGACGUGCCUGAAACACCUCCCAAGGAAGGCGCCCAGUGGGCAUCCUUACCAGAACCCCGAACCACCUCAGCUGACUCCUUUCUAAGUAAAGGAGCAGCGGCUCUAAUCCGAGUUCCUCACGGAUGGCUGAGCUUCUCACCCUAUCCCUAAGGGAGACGCCAGCCACCCUUCUGAGAAAACUCAUCUCGGCCGCUUGUACCCGCGAUCUCGUCCUU